GAUUGGAGAUGCAGGGGAUCGAACCCUGUACCUCCCGCAUGCAAAGCGGGCGCUCUACCAUUUGAGCUACAUCCCC
rnacentral:tRNA from 1 species